GAUGAACGCUGACAGAAUGCUUAACACAUGCAAGUCGAUUCGAUUUACCUUCGGGUAUUGAGGAUGGCGGACGGGUGAGUAACGCGUAAGGAACUUGCCUCUUGGUCUGGGACAACUGUUGGAAACGACAGCUAAUACCGGAUAUUAUGAGAUUCUCGCAUGGGAAACUUAUGAAAGCUAUAUGCGCCAAGAGAGAGCCUUGCGUUCCAUUAGCUAGUUGGUGGGGUAACGGCCCACCAAGGCGACGAUGGAUAGCCGGCCUGAGAGGGUGAACGGCCACAAGGGGACUGAGACACGGCCCUUACUCCUACGGGAGGCAGCAGUGGGGAAUAUUGGACAAUGGGCCACAAGCCUGAUCCAGCAAUUCUGUGUGCACGAUGAAGGUCUUCGGAUUGUAAAGUGCUUUCAGUUGGGAAGAAGAAAGUGACGGUACCAACAGAAGAAGCGACGGCUAAAUACGUGCCAGCAGCCGCGGUAAUACGUAUGUCGCAAGCGUUAUCCGGAUUUAUUGGGCGUAAAGCGCGUCUAGGCGGAAAAAUAAGUCUGAUGUUAAAAUGCGGGGCUCAACUCCGUAUUGCGUUGGAAACUGUUUUUCUAGAGUACUGGAGAGGUGGGCGGAACUACAAGUGUAGAGGUGAAAUUCGUAGAUAUUUGUAGGAAUGCCNAUGGAGAAGUCAGCUCACUGGACAGAUACUGACGCUAAAGCNCGAAAGCGUGGGGAGCAAA
rnacentral:rRNA from 1 species